UACAGGGGGUGCAAACGUUGCUCGGAAUUAUUGGGCGUAAAGCGCACGUAGGCGGUUUGUUAUGUCGGAUGUGAAAGCCCCUGGCUCAACUGAGGAAGUGCAUCCGAAACUGGCAAGCUAGAGUAUGUAAGAGGGUCGCGGAAUUCCCGGUGUAGAGGUGAAAUUCGUAGAUAUCGGGAGGAACACCGGUGGCGAAGGCGGCGACCUGGGACAAUACUGACGCUGAGGUGCGAAAGCGUGGGGAGCAAACAGG
rnacentral:rRNA from 1 species